AAGGAUCAUUGUCGAUGCCUCAAUCCAGAGAGACCCGCGGACACGUUCUAUCAAUACCCGGGGCGGUCGAAGCUGCCCAGCAGCUCGGCCCCCCGGAAAUGUCGGGACGGGGCCGUGGCCUAUCGUCCCGGCGCAACAACCAACAAACCCCGGCGCGGAAUGCGCCAAGGAAUCAACAAUAGUAAAGCGCGCCCCGUCGGCCCGGCAACGGUGCUCGCACGGGGGACGUCGCAACACUCGAGUCCAAAACGACUCUCGGCAACGGAUAUCUCGGCUCUUGCAUCGAUGAAGAACGUAGCGAAAUGCGAUACUUGGUGUGAAUUGCAGAAUCCCGUGAACCAUCGAGUCUUUGAACGCAAGUUGCGCCCAAAGCCACUAGGCCAAGGGCACGCCUGCCUGGGUGUCACAAAUCGCCGCCCCAACCCCUGUGCCUCUCUGGCCACGGAGCGGGGCGAAUGCUGGCCUCCCGUGAGCACCGCCUCGCGGCUGGCUGAAAAUCGGGUUCGUGGUGGAUGCAGCGCCAUGACAGACGGUGGUUGAGCGUGUUCUCGAGGCCAGUCAUGCGGGCGGCCUCCACCAGCUACGCACCCAGCGACCCGCGAGCGACUCCGAUCGCCCACGACGCGACCUCAGGUCAGGC
rnacentral:misc_RNA from 1 species